rnacentral:lncRNA from 10 species
UUUCAAAAACGAGGAUCAAGCCGUUCCUGGGAGCAUCCUAUGAGACAUUUGGACACAGGUUUACUUGGAGUCUCGGAGAUAUGACGGAAUCUGGAAAAGUCAAAGGAAAAAAAGCCAAGGUUAAUGGAAUUCAAGAACAUAAAUUCAAGCAGGGACGAUAUAGUGAAAACACUACUAUCUCCAUAAGUCAGUCUUUUUAAUUGCCUAAAGUUUUAACCAAGUCCCGGAGCUUUGGCUAAUGAUGAAAGAGGUAACAGAACAAACUCAAGUCUCUUGUCGAGCAGAUGGAGCUGGUGGAUUCCAGGACACUCCCCAAGGGAGCCAGGGAUGACCAUCUACGGAUCUCAAAGUGGCAACAUUUGCAAACCAGGACCCAGGAGCCAAUUUAACAAAUGUCAGGGCAGC